rnacentral:rRNA from 1 species
GGCCGACAGGCCCGGGUGAUCUUUGAAACUGCAUCGUGAUGGGGAUAGAUUAUUGCAAUUAUUAAUCUUCAACGAGGAAUGCCUAGUAAGCGCGAGUCAUCAGCUCGCGUUGAUUACGUCCCUGCCCUUUGUACACACCGCCCGUCGCUCCUACCGAUUGGGUGUGCUGGUGAAGCGUUCGGAUUGGCGUUAGUGGGCGGUUUUCCGCCUCCUCUCGCUGAGAAGUUCGUUAAACCCUCCCACCUAGAGGAAGGAGAAGUCGUAACAAGGUUUCCGUAGGUGAACCUGCGGAAGGAUCAUUG